ensembl:lncRNA
AUGAACCUCACGCUUAUCCCUUCUUCAUCUAUCAUUUCUGUGGAGGACAUGGGGCCAGUGGACAAGUACAGUGUGGGAUUUCAUGUGACUGGCCUGACAAUGGGCGUGGUCAGUCUCCGCCUCUCAGCAGUGGAUGGACAUGGGUCUGUUAUAAGCUCCUCUCACAAGAAUAUGCAAGUUUACCCUCCAUUCAGUUUGCAGCCCUGUAAACUUACUCUGUCAGUUGGAAGCUUGCCACAGGUUGGCAUGAUAAGACAUACCAAACCAUACAUUGGUUUCCAUAGAAACACUUUUUUUUAUUAUAAACAUAUAUUUGUUGUUCAGGUGAAAUGGGAGGGAUUCAUCCUCAGUAUGUUGUCAGGUUCUCUGUGAGUGACAGCGCUGUCACCAUGGUAACUGAGACAGGACGGGUCAGAGGUGUGGCAGUGGGUGUGGUCAAACUCAGAGGAGCUCUUCAGACACAAGAUACAGAAGCAUUGAUUACCUUUUUACAGGUAGCCCACAUUGCUUACCUUUGCUAAACAUGGCUUUCCAUAGUUUUUUUUUUAAGUUUUUUAUUUUUACUUUUUAAAGCCAUUUGUAAUUAAUGUCCUGCCUUGUGGAGCCAUACAGCCCAUACAAAAUAUUGUUAUUUACUGACGAUCAUAUAGCAGUAGACAUAGGGACUGUUCACACUGCACAUUAUUGCAUUUCACUUAGUCCACGCAUGGCACAGCAUUUUAAAAACAUGGUGCUCAAGGUAAAGUUCAGCUUUUAAAAAAUGAGUCUCUAGUUCACAUUCAUGCAGAAUAUGCUUUUGCUUUAAAAUGGCAAUGUUUAGGGAAGCAGAUUUUAAAAAAAAAUGGUCUAGAGACACAUAUUUUAAAAGAUCAGCUUUAUUUUAACUUGAGCUCCAUGUUUUUAGAACAGUUUGUCAUGCAAAAGAUGCAAACACAGUCAAAAAGUUCAUGUUUACAUACAAGAACAACAGAAAAGGUCUUCUUACGACUUUUAAAAAACACAUUUUACAUGUUUUUGUCAUUUCAACACAAAAACACAUUUUGUGUGAAAUGCCUCCUACUUAGAUACUGACGAACGAAAAAUGUAUGCUUGAUGUGAUUUUCCAUUGCCGUGACACCCAACAUGAAUAAUAAAUGACUACUUACCCAAUGCA